UACAGGGGUCUCAAGCGUUGCUCGGAUUCAUUGGGCGUAAAGGGUGCGUAGGUGGCAUGGUAAGUCGGAUGUGAAAUCCCGGGGCUCAACCCCGGAACUGCAUUCGAUACUGCUGCGCUAGAGUACUGGAGAGGAGAUUGGAAUUUACGGUGUAGCAGUGAAAUGCGUAGAUAUCGUAAGGAAGACCAGUGGCGAAGGCGGAUCUCUGGACAGUUACUGACACUGAGGCACGAAGGCCAGGGGAGCAAACGGG
rnacentral:rRNA from 1 species